GCGGGCGUAGCUCAAUUGGAUAGAGCAUCUGACUACGGAUCAGAAGGUUAGGGGUUCGAGUCCCUUCGCCCGUA
rnacentral:tRNA from 2 species